rnacentral:lncRNA from 1 species
AAACAGCAACACCAUCGUUUAAUCUAUAUAAAACAAGCGAGAAACGAGACCCACUUAUGACGCACAUCAACAAACGACAACUACUGAACAUCAGAUUCCUGUAUAAGGACAGAUGCACACACAUUCAGCAGGUGUAAACGUUUAAAUAGGUAUUAUCCUUCACCCUUAUCUGAAACAAUGUUGUAAAAUCCCAACAUAGAAAGACACACUAUAAAAUAUCAAUGAAAUAAGAGGUUAUAGUGUGUAAUAACAUUGCGUGAAAGAAUUCGAUGUUUGCUAUACCACUGUUUAUUUCAACGCACUUUAUAACAAUACCACUUUAUCAAUAUGAAUGAUUUUUUUUUUACUUUAAAAUCAUGUAUUAUUUGUUAAAUGUUAAAUAUUUUACAUGGACGAAUUUUCUGUAUAAAGUCAAUUAUUAUGUGAACUUUUGAAGCUCAAACUUUAAAUCGCUUUUACUACGCAAAUAAAAUAUCGGAAAACUAUACAAAUAAAG